rnacentral:lncRNA from 1 species
CUGACAUUGGGGACUGCAAGGCCUGGAUUCUUAUUUGCUUUGUCUAUAUCCUAUAGUUAUUUAUCUGUGAAUAUGUCAUAUUCCUCUUGUAGAAUCCCUUGAGAGCAGGGAUGGUCACACUUUUAUGUUUUUAUUCUCAGUGCUUUAUACAAUUCCUGACUAAUAGAGGACAUAAAAUAAAUACUUGUUGACUGAUUAAUUGAUUAAUAAUCUGUCUUUAAACAUACUAACAACUUAGACAUAAACUGGUCACCCAAUCUAUAAGUGUCCUUUACAAUUCUUUAAAACUAUCAGUUACAGAUGGCUUGAUGAUCUGUAUCAGUGGAGGGAGUUCUUCACAGUGAGUAUCUAGGUGAUUGUCUAAUAAAUAGAAUGUUGGACUUGGAAUGAGGAAGAUAUGAGUUUGAAUUCUGCCUUGGAUUGUCCUGAGUGACUAGCUAGUUGUAAAGCAUGGAUUGUCUCUGGGUUUCAGCUUCCUCAUCUAUGAUAGGGAUGAUAAUAGAACUGAUAGUAUAGAGUUGUUGUGAAGCUGAAAUGACUUCAUGGAGACACUGACACAAGACCAUCCAGCAUGAUGUGGCCACAUCAAAGAAGUAGGCAGGGCAUGAGAGACCAAAGUACCACCUGAAUGGCAAUGCACAGUCCAACCUGGGGAGUCCCUAUGCUUCAAAAAUUUUCUCUGAUACAACUUCAUCUGACUUGUGGCCCAUUCUCUCAGGACCAUGUGAGUUGUUUCUCUGGAUGUGGAUACAUUUUUUCUCAUAAGUUCCUCUGGAUUUGUCCUGGAUCAUUGCAUUGCUGAUAUCAGAAAAGUCUAUUGCAUUCAAUUGUGCCAUAAUGUAUCAGUCUCUGUGUACAGUGUUCCCCUGGUUCUGCUCCUUUCACUUUGCAUCAAUUCCUGGAGGUCUUUCCAGUUUACAUAGAAAUCCUCUAGUUCAUCAUUCCUUUUAGCACAAUAGUAUUCCAUCACCAUCAGAUGCCACAAUUUGUUCAGACAUUUCCCAAUCAAUGAACAGCUCUUCAUUUUCCAAAUUUUUGCUACCACAAAAAGCACAGCUAUAAAUAUUUUUGUACAGGUAUUUUUCCUUUUUAUCUCUUUGGGGUACAAACCCAUCAGUGGUAUGGAUGGAUCAAAGGGCAGGCAUUCUUUUAAAGCCCUUUGUGCAUAGGUCCAAAUUGCCCUGCAGAAUGGUUGGACCAAUUCACAACUGCACCAGCAGUAUAUUAGUGUUGCAAUUUUGCCACAUCCUCUCCAACAUUUAUCGCAUUCCUUUGCUGACAUAUUAGCCAGUCUGAUAGGUGUGAGAUAUCUGACACCAACCAUGAUUAUUAAAACCCAUUCAUAUCCUUUCAAUACUUAUGCUACAUGUUCUUCAAAUUAUUCCAGGAGGCACACCCAACAAAAUGGGGCUUUUAUAUUUUCUUUUUU